rnacentral:ncRNA from 1 species
AUAGGGGAGCCGAAGGGAAACCGAGUCUUAACUGGGCGUUAAGUUGCAGGGUAUAGACCCGAAACCCGGUGAUCUAGCCAUGGGCAGGUUGAAGGUUGGGUAACACUAACUGGAGGACCGAACCGACUAAUGUUGAAAAAUUAGCGGAUGACCUGUGGCUGGGGGUGAAAGGCCAAUCAAACCGGGAGAUAGCUGGUUCUCCCCGAAAGCUAUUUAGGUAGCGCCUCGUGAACUCAUCUUCGGGGGUAGAGCACUGUUUCGGCUAGGGGGUCAUCCCGACUUACCAACCCGAUGCAAACUGCGAAUACCGAAGAAUGUUAUCACGGGAGACACACGGCGGGUGCUAACGUCCGUCGUGAAGAGGGAAACAACCCAGACCGCCAGCUAAGGUCCCAAAGUCAUGGUUAAGUGGGAAACGAUGUGGGAAGGCCCAGACAGCCAGGAUGUUGGCUUAGAAGCAGCCAUCAUUUAAAGAAAGCGUAAUAGCUCACUGGUCGAGUCGGCCUGCGCGGAAGAUGUAACGGGGCUAAACCAUGCACCGAAGCUGCGGCAGCGACGCUUAUGCGUUGUUGGGUAGGGGAGCGUUCUGUAAGCCGUUGAAGGUGUGCUGUGAGGCAUGCUGGAGGUAUCAGAAGUGCGAAUGCUGACAUAAGUAACGAUAAAGCGGGUGAAAAGCCCGCUCGCCGGAAGACCAAGGGUUCCUGUCCAACGUUAAUCGGGGCAGGGUGAGUCGACCCCUAAGGCGAGGCCGAAAGGCGUAGUCGAUGGGAAACAGGUUAAUAUUCCUGUACUUGGUGUUACUGCGAAGGGGGGACGGAGAAGGCUAUGUUAGCCGGGCGACGGUUGUCCCGGUUUAAGCAUGUAGGCGGAGGUUCCAGGUAAAUCCGGUACCUUUUAACGCUGAGGUGUGAUGACGAGGCACUACGGUGCUGAAGUAACAAAUGCCCUGCUUCCAGGAAAAGCCUCUAAGCUCCAGGUAACACGAAAUCGUACCCCAAACCGACACAGGUGGUCAGGUAGAGAAUACCAAGGCGCUUGAGAGAACUCGGGUGAAGGAACUAGGCAAAAUGGUGCCGUAACUUCGGGAGAAGGCACGCUGACAUGUAGGUGAAGCCCCUGCGGGUGGAGCUGAAGUCAGUCGAAGAUACCAGCUGGCUGCAACUGUUUAUUAAAAACACAGCACUGUGCAAACACGAAAGUGGACGUAUACGGUGUGACGCCUGCCCGGUGCCGGAAGGUUAAUUGAUGGGGUUAUCCUUAGGGAGAAGCUCUUGAUCGAAGCCCCGGUAAACGGCGGCCGUAACUAUAACGGUCCUAAGGUAGCGAAAUUCCUUGUCGGGUAAGUUCCGACCUGCACGAAUGGCGUAAUGAUGGCCAGGCUGUCUCCACCCGAGACUCAGUGAAAUUGAACUCGCUGUGAAGAUGCAGUGUACCCGCGGCAAGACGGAAAGACCCCGUGAACCUUUACUAUAGCUUGACACUGAACAUUGAGCCUUGAUGUGUAGGAUAGGUGGGAGGCUUUGAAGCGUGGACGCCAGUCUGCGUGGAGCCAACCUUGAAAUACCACCCUUUAAUGUUUGAUGUUCUAACCUGGUACCGUAAUCCGGUAUGGGGACAGUGUCUGGUGGGUAGUUUGACUGGGGCGGUCUCCUCCUAAAGAGUAACGGAGGAGCACGAAGGUUGGCUAAUCCUGGUCGGACAUCAGGAGGUUAGUGCAAUGGCAUAAGCCAGCUUGACUGCGAGCGUGACGGCGCGAGCAGGUGCGAAAGCAGGUCAUAGUGAUCCGGUGGUUCUGAAUGGAAGGGCCAUCGCUCAACGGAUAAAAGGUACUCCGGGGAUAACAGGCUGAUACCGCCCAAGAGUUCAUAUCGACGGCGGUGUUUGGCACCUCGAUGUCGGCUCAUCACAUCCUGGGGCUGAAGUAGGUCCCAAGGGUAUGGCUGUUCGCCAUUUAAAGUGGUACGCGAGCUGGGUUUAGAACGUCGUGAGACAGUUCGGUCCCUAUCUGCCGUGGGCGCUGGAGAAUUGAGGGGGGCUGCUCCUAGUACGAGAGGACCGGAGUGGACGCAUCACUGGUGUUCGGGUUGUCAUGCCAAUGGCAUUGCCCGGUAGCUACAUGCGGAAGAGAUAAGUGCUGAAAGCAUCUAAGCACGAAACUUGCCCCGAGAUGAGUUCUCCCUGAGACUUAGAGUCUCCUGAAGGAACGUUGAAGACGACGACGUUGAUAGGCCGGGUGUGUAAGCGCAGCGAUGCGUUGAGCUAACCGGUACUAAUGAACCGUGAGGCUUAACCUU